rnacentral:lncRNA from 1 species
CUGUAUGGCGCUACAGAGGGUAGUACGUACAGCCCAGUACAUCACUGGGGCCAAGCUUCCUGCCAUCCAGGACCUAUAUACUAGGCGGUGUCAGAGGAAGGCCCAAAAAAUUGUCAAAGACUCCAGUCACUCAUGUCAUAGACUGUUCUCUCUACUACUGCAUGGCAAAUGGUACCGGAGCACCAAGUCUAUGUCCAAAAGGCUCCUUAAGGGCUUGUAAGUAAGCAUUUCACAGUAAGGUCUACACCUGUUGUAUUCGAUACAGGUACUUUCUCUCAGAUACAGGACAAAGGGUAGAGAUGAGUGAGAGGAGAGAGAAGAGGACAGAGGGUAGAGAUGAGUGAGAGGAGAGAGGGUAGAGAUGAGUGAGAGGAGAGAGAAGAGGAGAGAGGGUAGAGAUGAGUGAGAGGAGAGAGGGUAGAGAUGAGUGAGAGGAGAGAGGGUAGAGAUGAGAGGAGAGAGGGUAGAGAUGAGUGAGAAGAGAGAGGGUAGAGAUGAGUGAGAAGAGAGAGGGUAGAGAUGAGUGAGAGGAGAGAGGGUAGAGAUGAGAGGGUAGAGGUGAGAGGAGAGAGGGUAGAGAUGAGUGAGAGGAGAGAGGGUAGAGAUGAGUGAGAGGAGAGAGGGUAGAGAUGAGGAGAGGAGAGAGGGUAGAGAUGAGAGGGUAGAGAUGAGUGAGAAGAGAGAGGGUAGAGAUGAGUAAGAGGAGAGAGGGUAGAGAUGAGUGAGAGGAGAUGAGUGAGAGGAGAAUCGUUGUUUUUCAUGCAGGUCUGUGUGCACACCUGUACAUCUGUUUAUAUGCUUUUGUAUGUUUGUGUGUGUGUGAGUGUGAGUGUGUGCAUACAUGGAUUUGUACAUCUGUAUGCAUGCAUGUGUGUGUGUGUGUGUGUGUGUGUGUGUAGGCCCCUGUGUGUCUGUACGUAUAUGUCUGUCUCUCUUUGUGUGCGUGUCAUAUUAGGUGAGAAUUAGCACACAAGUAGGGACCACCCUCAUGACUUUGAGUGAGAGGAGAAAUGAGGAGAGAGGGUAGAGAUGAGUGAGAGGAGAGAGGGCAGAGAUGAGUGAGAGGGUAGAGAUGAGAGGGUAGAGAUGAGUGAGAGGAGAGAGGGUAGAGAUGAGUGAGAGGAGAGAUGAGUGAGAGGAGAGAGGGCAGAGAUGAGUGAGAGGGUAGAGAUGAGUGAGAGGAGAGAGGGUAGAGAUGAGUGAGAGGGUAGAGAUGAGAGGGUAGAGAUGAGUGAGAGGAGAGAGGGUAGAGAUGAGUGAGAGGGUAGAGAUGAGUGAGAGGAGAGAGGGCAGAGAUGAGAGGAGAGAGGGUAGAGAUGAGAGGAGAGAGGUGAGAGGAGAGAGGGUAGAGAUGAGAGGGUAGAGAUGAGUGAGAGGAGAGAGGGUAGAGAUGAGUGAGAGGAGAGAGGGUAGAGAUGAGAGGAGAGAGGGUAGAGAUGAGAGGGUAGAGAUGAGUGAGAGGAGAGAGGGUAGAGAUGAGAGGAGAGAGGGUAGAGAUGAGAGGGUAGAGAUGAGUGAGAGGAGAAAGAAGAGGGAGACGAGGGAGAAGGGGAGAGAGAAGAGGGAGAAAGGUGAAUGAGAGAAAGUAGACUAGAGGGAGGUGAAGUUGUUGCCUGAGGGCAUAUGUCCAGUCUAGCUCCCUUCUCUCCCUCCUCUCUCUCUCGCCCAGCACAGUCAGUCAGUCAGUUAGACACACAGAGCAAAUAGACUCUCCCAGUCUCCCAGUGGAGUACAGGGGCAUCUCUGUCAGGACAGGACAGAGGCUCUGCUUUAUCCGCUCAGGGCAACAGGAAGGCCAGACUGCACCACCCACUAGGACCCACCUCCCACCACCACACAGGGAUACUAUGGAUCCUAACACACUGGUCAAUGGGAGAUGCUGUCCCAAGGGCAGGAGGAGAGCGAAGAGACAGCCUGGAACAGUGAGGGACUGUUGUAUCUGAGUGACUGGAUGUCUUGAGCUAGGAGGCUCUGCAAAAUAGUUUUUUGUUUAGACAGGUCUGUGUGAAUAGUUGUUUUUCAGGCAG